CCUCUCUAUCCUAUAGCCAUCCAGUGAUUGAAGGUUGGUACAGACUACUGGAGCUGACUGGGAGAUUCACCAACAGCAGCCAGCAUUAAAGAGAGCGUGCUCCAUUCUGAUAGGCAUUCCCACAAUGUGGCUGGUUUUAACAACAACCUG
rnacentral:lncRNA from 1 species